UACAGAGACUGCAAGCGUUAUUCGGAUUCACUGGGCGUAAAGGGUGCGCAGGCGGCCGUGUGUGUCAGGUGUGAAAGCCCGGAGCUUAACUCCGGAAUUGCGCCUGAAACUACAUGGCUAGAGCAUUGGAGAGGGUAGCGGAAUUCACGGUGUAGCAGUGAAAUGCGUAGAUAUCGUGAGGAACACCAGAGGCGAAGGCGGCUACCUGGACAAUUGCUGACGCUCAGGCACGAAAGCGUGGGGAGCAA
rnacentral:rRNA from 1 species